CCCCUGGUGGUCUAGUGGUUAGGAUGUGGUGCUCUCACCGCCGCAGCCCGGGUUCGAUUCCCGGUCAGGGAA
rnacentral:tRNA from 1 species